AUUCACUUACAUUACGGCGCGUCGAUUAGUUCCAGAGUGACAGCGCGCAGAGCAUAUUGGAACUCUACAGGUCAUGCUGGACCUCCAGGAUUGUUGUUGUGGCCAUCACCAGUCCUGUCUGGACUGGUUUCCAGCUGCCCUUGGGACCGAUCUUCAGGCCCCGAAACAGAUGAAUGGAGUCCCGGAGGAAGCUGAUGGCCUUAUCAUACUCCUCCAUCUUGAAAUGACUUAGGGCAGUAACAGUGUUGCGUGACGACAUGAGCUCAAACUUGUUGGUGUCCAAUGUUCAGUCACUGUAUUGGUAAGUAACCAUUUGUUUUGGCCAAAAUGUGUUAUUCACACUCCUGACUCCAGUUUGAUGUGCUGCAUUCUCCUCUGAGUGGUCCUGAUUUCAGGCAGAGGUCAUGGCUUGGAAGGUUUUAUAUUCUGUAGUGUCUCAACAGAACCUAAUAUGAAUUGCUUUAUUGUCUCGUCGCUGGAUCACCUCCCCCUGGCAAAGUGGCCUCGUUAUUGUUGACAAACCUGUUUUUGUUGCUGGUUCAACAGUAGCUUCUGUAAAUAGUUUUGUAAAUAGUUUGAAUAUUUAUCAUAGUAAUCACUUUUAGUCUCCCACUCUCAAUUUAAUUUAUCGUUUCUUUGCCCCACCAUAUAUUUUGUUGUCCAAGGGCACUAAUUUGGUCUGUGUUGAAGAUUGUUUUACACUUUAGAUCAGGGGUCUUCAACUAAAAUUCAACGAGGUCCAGUUAGAGAAAAUGUCCCCAUGCAAAGGUCCGGAACAUCAAAAUGUCUAA